UACAGAGGUCUCAAGCGUUUGUUCGGAUUCAUUGGGCGUAAAGGGUGCGUAGGCGGCGCGGUAAGUCGGGUGUGAAAUCUCGGAGCUUAACUCCGAAACUGCAUUCGAUACUGCCGUGCUUGAGGACUGGAGAGGAGACUGGAAUUUACGGUGUAGCGGUGAAAUGCGUAGAUAUCGUAAGGAAGACCAGUGGCGAAGGCGGGUCUCUGGACAGUUCCUGACGCUGAGGCGCGAAAGCUAGGGGAGCAAACGGG
rnacentral:rRNA from 1 species